rnacentral:rRNA from 1 species
UACGUAGGGGGCUAGCGUUGUCCGGAUUCAUUGGGCGUAAAGGGUGCGUAGGCGGCGCGGUAAGUCGGGUGUGAAAUCUUGGAGCUUAACUCCGAAACUGCAUUCGAUACUGCGGUGCUUUGAGGACUGGAGAAGGAGACUGGAAUUCAUGGUGUAGCAGUGAAAUGCGUAGAGAUCAUGAGGAAGACCAGUGGCGAAGGCGGGUCUCUGGACAGUUC